rnacentral:rRNA from 1 species
GUGUCAGCAGCCGCGGUAACACGGGGGGAGCAAGCGUUGUUCGGAUUCAUUGGGCGUAAAGAGCUCGUAGGUGGCUCUGUAAGUCGGAGGUGAAAGACCACGGCUCAACCGUGGAAACGCCUUCGAAACUGUGGAGCUUGAGGCUGGGAGAGGAAAUCGGAAUUCCUGGUGUAGCGGUGAAAUGCGUAGAUAUCAGGAGGAACACCGGUGGCGAAGGCGGAUUUCUGGACCAGUUCUGACACUGAGGAGCGAAAGCCAGGGGAGCAAACAGGAUUAGAAACCCCGGUAGUCC